AAAAUAACACCACAGACAAUUGCAAAUGUUGGCUCGCCGAUAAGAAAAAAAUUAUCCCGUGUUGUGGCAUGGGUACUGUAGAUUAUAGGCAAGCACUAUGGUAUCCACUGUGUUAUUUAAUCUCUGUCUGGACACUUAAGUGACCUCUGAUAAUACCUGAUCAAGAGACUAAUGAAAAUACUGAGUAGGAUCAUGCACGAGAAACUGCACUGAAAAACUAAGAACUAUUCUGCAAAAGCUGAAGAAUUCCAGACAAAUGCAAUGUAAG
rnacentral:lncRNA from 1 species